UUCCACAGCUUGAAGACGAGGUGCCUUGUAUUUCAUCCCUUCCUCAAGGUUCUCUGCUUCAGGAAAGUCUCUUGUUUCUGCCAUUGGCUCAAGCCUCCACUGAUCCCUUCCCAAUUUUAGGUGGAGUUCCAUCCAGAAGACAUGCUUCGUGGCCCCUUCAGGACAGCCCUAUUACACUGCAUAUAUAUAAGGAGAUGUGGGAAAGAGAAAGAGAGAAGAAAAAUAAGGCAAGACAGAGUUCUCAGGUUUGCUGUCCUCGUGAAGAUCUGCGUAGUCAGCAACAAGUGAGAUGUUCGAUGUACCCGUGCUUGUCAACUUCUGAUUUGUGUUGCUUUGAUG